CCUACGGGCGGCUGCAGUGAGGAAUUUUCGUCAAUGGGGGCAACCCUGAACGAGCAACGCCGCGUGCAGGAUGAAGGUUUUCGGAUCGUAAACUGCUUUUCUGUGGGACGAGCAAGGACGGUACCAUAGGAAGAAGCCCCGGCUAACUACGUGCCAGCAGCCGCGGUAAUACGUAGGGGGCGAGCGUUGCCCGGAUUUAUUGGGCGUAAAGCGUCCGCAGGCGGUCUUUCAAGUUUGGGUGACAGUUCCCGGCUUAACUGGGAAAGUGCUUCAAAGACUGGAAGACUUGAGAGGUUCAGAGGAAAGCGGAAUUCCGGGCGGAGUGGUGAAAUGCGUAGAUAUCCGGAGGAACACCGAUGGUGUAGGCAGCUUUCUGGGAACUAUCUGACGCUGAUAGACGAAAGCUAGGGGAGCAAACGGGAUUAGAUACCCCGGUAGUC
rnacentral:rRNA from 1 species